UAGGGAAUCUUCCACAAUGGACGCAAGUCUGAUGGAGCAACGCCGCGUGAGUGAAGAAGGGUUUCGGCUCGUAAAGCUCUGUUGGUAGUGAAGAAAGAUAGAGGUAGCAACUGGCCUUUAUUUGACGGUAAUUACUUAGAAAGUCACGGCUAACUACGUGCCAGCAGCCGCGGUAAUACGUAGGUGGCAAGCGUUGUCCGGAUUUAUUGGGCGUAAAGCGAGUGCAGGCGGUUCAAUAAGUCUGAUGUGAAAGCCUUCGGCUCAACUGGAGAAUUGCAUCAGAAACUGUUGAACUUGAGUGCAGAAGAGGAGAGUGGAACUCCAUGUGUAGCGGUGGAAUGCGUAGAUAUAUGGAAGAACACCAGUGGCGAAGGCGGCUCUCUGGUCUGCAACUGACGCUGAGGCUCGAAAGCAUGGGUAGCGAACAGGAUUAGAUACCCUGGUAGUCCAUGCCGUAAACGAUGAGUGCUAAGUGUUGGGAGGUUUCCGCCUCUCAGUGCUGCAGCUAACGCAUUAAGCACUCCGCCUGGGGAGUACGACCGCAAGGUUG
rnacentral:rRNA from 1 species